CGCGAAGAAAGAGUCGUCCCGUUGGUGGUCGUUAAUUCUUGUCGCACGUGUCCCACCGCUUUGAUCACGCGAGUAUGCUAAUUGCACCGUCCACCGCCCACUCGCUGCCAGUGCAUGGAAAAUCGUCGACAGCGACCAAAAGUAAGAGGAAGAUGAAGGAAAAGAAGAAGGAUCAUGAUGAUGGAAGAGAGGAGAAAUAGCAGAAACAAGACCAAGAGAAGGAGAAAGAAAAAAUGGAAGAAAGAGGAGAAACUUUGACUUGAGUCGAGUGAUUUUGCCACUCUCCAUUGGCAUGUACAUUCUGUUGGCACAUGCGCGAAUUCCGAUUCCAAAGCAUUGAGAAAGACAUACUAGGAAUAUAGGAAAAUUAAUUUGUCUUAACAUUUUAUUGGGAUCUUCUUCGACACGUAAAUUAAAUGGAAGAAAGUCACAUUUUUCCAACCAUUGGAGUUUCCAUGAAAAUAUAACUUAAUGGACCAAAACGAAUUUCUAUGGAGAAGAAAGUAUGCCUGUGGUUUUCCAGGCGGGUAAAAAGGACGGUGCACGCGCCGCUUGCAGAAACGUUUCGUAAAUUCGAAGAAUGACUGGAAAGAAGUGGCCGCCGCACAAAGCGUGCCGACACAACCGGGCUCGUUUGCCCCGCGGAGGUAAUUGUCUUCUUGGCCGCACGAGAGCGCACGUAUUCCGCAAGCAAAUACACACCAAGAGGCUGGCUUACAUACAGCGUUCUCACGGGAUGGAGAAUAAACACCAUGGUCCGGUCUGUUACCGACUUUUCAACUUUUCGUUUCCUGGACACGGUUUGUUGGAACAUUCCUCUCACUCGUUCAGUUGUCGAUUUGUGGAUAACGAAUUGCAAUGAAUAGAAGAAAUUUCUAUAUUGUUUAUAAUGUUAUAUUUUGUUCUUUUUUUCAAGAGAAGAAUUCUUAUAAUAAUUACAUAAUGUUAAGAAGAUAGAAAAUGAGUGAAAUUAUGAAUAGAAAAAUGAAAAAAAGAAGGAAAAAACAACGAAUACAGUUAUUGAAUUUAAAAUAAAAUUAGAAAAAGAAAUAUCAGAAGAGAAAGAAAUAAAUUAUAAAAUUGUGAUAAAGAUGUUGUAUAUUGUUAAAUUAUUUUGUUUCAAAUAGUUAAUAUCUAUUUUGCUCUUCGAUCCCCAGAGACCGGAAAACACGUCGAAAAUUUAUCGAGCGCGGCUGUAGAAUGUCUUUUCGUGAUUAUUCUCAGCUUAACGUGCCACGUCUCUCUUUGAUCCUUCGUGAAAUAUAAAUCGAAAGAAACUUACACAGCAGAAUAUUUACGAUAUUCGAACGAGGAAUUUUUUUUAACUCGAGGAAGACAUAUCCCUAACAAAACUGAUUCGUCGGUAUCUAUGAAGUCCUGUAAUAAAAAAAUAUCAGCGGAAGUAAUAUUUGAAGUGACACAAUAUAUUAAAAGAGUAAAACAAAUUUUUUUUCCAUUACACUAUUUAAUCUCUUCUAUUAUUAUUUUUGUUAUAAUAGAAAAAAAAAGUUUUUACAUAUCAAUCGUUUGUUCAUCAAA